rnacentral:snoRNA from 1 species
UUUCCAAGUGUUGAGUUCAGUUCAGGGCCUCUUCCCUGUUCUGUUAAUUAAACUUUGGGACAUUGAAAGGGACUAGAAGAUAGAACUGGAGAGAGAGAUGGUGGAUCAACAGGCUAAUCUA